GCAAUAAAAAACAACGCAGUCUUGCCAUUUGCAACAAUGUGGAUGGAGCUAGAGUGUAUUACGCUAAGCAAAAUAAGUCAGAGAAAGACAAGUAUCAUAUGAUUUCACUCAUAUGUGGAAUUUAAGAUGCAAAACAGGUGAACCUAAGGGAGGGAAGCAAAAGUAAUAUAAAAAACAGAGAGAGAGAGAGAGAGAGAGAGAGAGAGACAAACCAUAAGAGACUCUUAAAUACAGAGAACAAACUGAGGGUUGCCUGUGGGGUGGUGGGCGGGGGGAAGGGCUAACGGGGUAAGGGGCAUUAAGGAAGACAUUUGUUGGGAUGAGCAGUGGGUAUUACAUGUAAGUGAUGAAUCACUAAAUUCUAUUGCUGAAAUUAUUAUUACACUAUACGUUAACUAACUGGGAUUUAAAUUAAAAACAAAAAAAGAAGAAGACAGCUGAGUACUGACUCAUAGAGCCCAGGGGCAGUCAUCAGCACAUGGGUGGUGCCCACAGUUCUAAGACUGGGUGAGAUUGUCCAGAAAGAAAAGGGUCCAAGAGCACUAAAACGCAGAGAUUGGACCAAGAAAAGAUGAGCUAGCAAAAAUCAUUGAGUAGGAGCUCUCACUGAAGUUGGAGAACUGGACAUGUGGUACCACAGAAGCCAAGAGAAGAAUCACUUUGACUGCCGGCCAGCCCCAGACACACGGUGGACACUCAGAGAGAGUUAGUUUCCCCUUUAAUGGAAAUAGUAUCAUUCACUUAUUUUAAGUCUCUCAAAAGAUAGAACAUUACCUUUCAUGCGGGCAUAAAAUCAAUUUGCAAUGGCAUUUUUUUCCUCUUUCAUACGUCUUUCAAGGUUGAAAUAUAGAGCCCCGAAGAGUCGUGGGUUGGUCACCCCUCUUCAAAAGCAUACAUUUACCAGCCUGCAAAUCCACCAAGUGAAGAUUUCCCUUUUUCUGCCUUAAGUUCACAUGAUUUAAUUUGCCCGAGUAACCUGCUGUCAUAGGUUUUCACGGAGUCCUGAUAGCUAACAGAGUAAUUAAUGCUUUAGGCUUUUAGGAACUGUUUCAGGUUUUUAUUAAUCACUGUUGUGAUUGCACAUAUGAAUUAUGAAGGAGUUAUUUUGGUGGUUGGGUUUCCCCUUCAGAAAAAUUUCCAUAUUUGUUCAUUAUGAACUGAUAGCCUGGAGAAGAAGAAUAAAAAUGGGGAAUGUUGCCUGGGUCCUAUGCAGACAUUUCAAAUUAUCCAGAGUAAGGAUUACUUUACAGUAAACAGAAAGAGUGUGAGUUGUUUGAAGUUGGUAGUUAAACGUUUUCUCUUUCCCCCACCAUAAAUUAAUUAGAGAUUCUCUGUGACUGCCCCCUGAAUAUAUGGAUUUUGUAAACUGUUUAAAGACGUGUUAACAUCAGAAGGAAUUUUGUGGGUUUUGUGUGGUUUGUCUAUGAUUCCCGCGUUUGGAGGAAUCCCUCCUAGGACCUUCAUGAUUCGUGUGCUGUUCGUUUGGGAGUUUUCCAGGAGACAGAGGUAUCCAGGUAACUGGAAAGAAACAGAAACCCAUCCUUCUUAUUCCUUCUAAUUUUAUUUCGGGGCAACAUCAUGGAGUUUCCAAAAUUAUAUGAUUGUAUGUGAGAUCAGUGUAUGAAAAUGGAAUGCGAUGGCCCUUUUCAGGUGCUUAGGACCCAGUUCUACAGUGUAAAAAACAAAACACAGGAACUGUUUUCUUGGAAGCUCCUUCCCCUAAGGCAUCCCCUCGCCCCAGACUUUUGCAGGGCUCAGUGUGUAAAUUCUAGUGGCUGCUUGUGAGUCCUGCUCGCCCCUUUCCUUGGUGUGGGGGUAAAUGUAGAUUUCCCCUGUGUUUACAGGAAAUUUUACUCCCUGCCUUUUACUCUGACAAGAGAAGACUGGCUGCUUUCCUGGGAACAGGGCUCUUUUCAGUGAUUAGAGUGAUUUUCUGUGAUUCUCCCAUACUUGGAAAAGAUCUUUUGCGACUACAAAUAAAAGACAGAGUAGUUAUAUCACUGUAUCGAUGGAGGCAGGCCACUCUGCGAGUCUCCAGUGCCUUGACUAUUAAGUGAAAAUACCUGUUAUUGCCGUAACUGCCAUUUUUACUCUUCCUGAGUGGCCGGUUGGGGUGAGCGGUGGGAGAAGGAGCUGGGUUGGGCUGGAGGAAGUCCAUUUGCAAAGUCAACAGCGGAAGUAUUCAGGCAGAGCCUCAGACAUCUGAUCUGAAUGCUGUAUAGAUAAGGGGGAGAUCCGAUACUCAGCAGAUGGGCCAUCCUGCUAAUUCUAAGAGUCACUUGCUGGGACAGACUAGGCGCGUCUAAUCUGAUGGUAUUUUCAUCUUAAUUUACUUGCAGCCUGCUUUUUGUAGGUAACGGCAUUUCUUUCUUUCUUUUUUUUUUUUUAAUUUUUUUUACGUUUAUUUAUUUUUGAGACAGAGAGAGACAGAGCACGAACGGGGGAGGGUCAGAGAGAGGGAGACACAGAAUCUGAAACAGGCUCCAGGCUCUGAGCUGUCAGCCCAGAGCCCGACGCGGGGCUCGAACUCACGGACCGCGAGAUCAUGACCUGAGCCGAAGUCGGACGCUUAACCGACUGAGCCACCCGGGCGCCCCGGUAACGGCAUUUCUGACAAAGGUGAUAAAUUUGCUAAAGCUUAACAUUCAAGAUUCUUUGCUCACAUGAGUAUUAUAUAAUUAAAUAUACAUUUGGGCUCAAAGUCCCAGUCUAACAAAUUCCCUUCACAGGAGUACCAUUUGAGUGCCCAUUCUCGCAUUAAUUUUAUUUGACAUUAUAUCAACAUUACAUUCCUAGCCUAAAAGGAGAAAUCACAUGCGAAUGCAGGGGUGUAUUUUAAAGUACAGUAUUUAGUUUGGCCGUGAAAAAAGCAGCCAGCUAAGUCGCUAAAGCAGAAUUUUCUAAAUUAGUUCAUAUAAAGUGGCCCAAAUGCACUAAAUUUAAAUUGUUGUAACAAAGCCCUAAAUGCUGGUGCGUGUGGCUGUUUUGAUACUUCUAACAUUUUUCCUCUGGGGCUCCCAGAAUUGACUACGAUGGUGUCUUGGGAAAAUUAACUUGGGAGACUUCAGCGGUGAAAGAAAGCGACGGAAAAUAAGUCACUGUGGUGUCGCGAGUGGAAUUCGCUUACGUGAGACCCCACGCGAAAGUCAAAGCCCUGAUUCUUCUCACAUCUGCACUAGCUUCAGAGCGAGGAAGUUUAUCAGUUAAAGGUGGAAGCAUCCAGUUCCCAGUUCUGCUGAAUAAAGAGUUUCACAAACACUGCCGUUGAGUUGGGGGGUAGUUGGGAGCCCCAUGCAAAAGCAUUAUUUCUCUGACCAGCUGCUCAUGUGGCCACGGCAUUGCCUAGCGCUAACAGAAGUGGACAAAAGCAUGAUUUGGGGUUAUUAGCCCUAAAUAAGAAAUGGUUGUGGGGUAUCAUCGAUAUCCUCUGACUUGGGGUCUCGGCUGAAUUUUGAAUCAGUGGCUGCCACCAGGGAGGAAAGGAGCUUAUCCCUAAGCAGCAUCCAAGGGACCAAACGUGGCAAUUUCUUUUGGUUCCAAAAUGCUGACUUUUACAUACUUUGUGGUCUGUGCAUUCUCGAGCUGUGCUUUGUGCUUGGCUAUCACGAUGAAUUGCAGACGGGGCUUUUGUUUUCAGAGAAUCCACCAGCAUUGGAGAAGACCGGCCUUUGGCAUAAGUGGGGAGCGGAUAGUUUGUCUCCCCUGUUUGUCUUAAUUCCUGCAUUCGUCCGUACUCCCCAUGGACCUCCAACCCUGCCAGAGUUUACUGGUCCCAAACAGACACUUCAGUCCCCUCCAUGCUGUCUUCAGCGUGUUUCUGAAGUGUCACGUGGCUGGUGACCAGCAGACCUGUGAACCUGUCCAGAUGGCAGGGUCCCUCAAGGUCAUAACUAGAGUGAUUUCAACUGUGACCUCUGGAGUCAUUAUCCCCUGGGGGUCCUUUUGGUGCGCUGGCUACUUAAUGCCAUCUCUGAAAGGUAGGAAUAUUUCAGGGAAGAGAGGAGGAGGACGGUUGUGGUUUAUGAAGCAGAAACUUUUGAGUCCGUAUUGGCCGUCAUCGUCAUCAGGGCAGACAGCUUUGUUCUCGGCGCUUUCCUUUGGCUUUGAGGAUUUUGUGAUUUUCUUACCUGAUCUCUUCUGCUUAAGCUUCUGACUAGGCCUGUGGGGUAUGUUUGCAUCCAGGGGUAAGCUCUGGUGAUGCCGAUGUGGUGUUUUGUUUCAGACUUCUGGUAUAGCCUUUCCAACCGCCUGCAAGGUACUCUGUGCAGAACUAAGAGAUUUGUAGUUUUCUGGCUGUCGAGGCCAUUCUGGAUUUCAUAGGGAAGGGAUUUUGAGCGCUGGAAGGGCCCCAGAGGUCUGGGCCACCUUAGCACAGGUAGAUAAGCCUAGAGAGGUGAGGAGCCAGGUCUCUGGACACUUACCCAAUCUUCUCUUCUCUUUCUGGCCGUUGCCUGUAGUCUGAUCGGAGAAGCUUCUCACUGUGACGCCCAUGUAGUGGGAUGCAAAGUGCUAGAAAUCCCUCUGCUGCGAGCUGAUAACAGCUAUGUUCCGGCACCCUAAAAUGGGAGGGCACUUUGAGACUGUGGAGUUGAAUCCCAAGGCCCUAGGCUCGGAGUCGAUGGGCUGGGACUGGCACCUAGCUCCCUUGAACUCUCCAUUCAGUUAUCCGCCCCCUCCCUGACGUGCUGGGGGUGGAGGGUGAUUAGAGGCACCCAUUGGCACAUUCUCUCUCUGCUCUCUUCCUGCCAGCUACCGAGUGGAUCCCUGCCAGGCCUUUAUCACCCCCAAAGAAGACCUAAAAUCUUAUUAGGGAAGUAUUUACCACAGAACUAAUCUGUCCUUAUUGAGGCCAUGCCUGUGUUUUAAACUCAGUUAAAUGAACGACCAUUCCCUUAGAAAAUAUCCAUUUCUUUGGAACUCUUGCUGCUGGCACCAGCUGCCCAUGGGUGUCUUAGUCUAAACAAAAUACACGGACUGGGGGCUUAUAAACAACAGCAAUUUGUUCCUUGCAGCCUGGAGGUAGAGGUCUGAGAUCACGGUGCCAGCACGGUUGGGUGGAGGGCUUCUUCCAGGUCACAGACUUCUUGUUGAAUCCUUCUCUGGAGGAGGGGGCUAGGGAGUACAAAGGGGUCUGUCUUAUUUAUAAGAGUACUAGUGACCGAACCCCCUCCCAAAGACCCUGCCACUCCUAACACCGUCACGCUGGGCAUUACCAUCCCAACGUGUGAAUUUGGGGGGGACACAAACAUUCAGACCGCAGCAAGGGGGUGACACUUUUCAGCCAGGAAGUGGUGAGGUUCUGCUCUGGAGUGGACUGAAUGAUUGGGGGGGGGGGGGGCUGCUGAUCAGAGAGUGGCUCAGAUCAAUAAUAACUGUAGACAGUGACCUUGGAGAUGAUUCCCUCUGCCCCAAAUCCCCUUAAAAAUGACUCCUCUUUGCUCCCGAAGACCGUCUUUCUACAGAUGCCCCCUCUGCCCUUAACCUUCAGCCCUGGGAUGGAGAACCAUUUCUGAACGGGUUGCCAGUUCUCACCCCCCAGCACUUACGUUGCCUGGCUUGUCACUUGGCCUGAGAAUAGGAGCCCAGGUCAGUCAAACCGGGAAGUGCAUCCCAGGGACGCUCAGAGGUACUAGGCGACCCACCCCCUUCACCCUUUUCCUCCGUAACAGAAGGUCGGAAGGGGUGAACUCCUCCAACCAGAGCCCUUCUCCAGGGUCUAUAAACAGAAACAGGACCACCUUCAUGGUCAGAAAAACGGAAGUGGUCUCUCUCUGCCUUCUGUCUGUCGGGAGCCUUCAGGAAUCUCUCUGCACCGAACAGGGCUCAGGGACCCUCAAGCAAUUAGAACUCAUUUGCAGGGCACAGAAGGCCACUGGGCCCUCAAAUCUUUUUCAGCUCCCCCUUCCUAUCUGACUUCUCUACAGACAGGUGCAUGCUUCUGGCUGCUGCAGGGUCCAGCUGGCAGGAGGACUCUAACGUGUCAUCACAGAAAUAAAAUUUGUCACCUUGUGUUCCCAA